CCUAAGUCGGAUUAGCUGGUUGGUGGGGUAAAGGCCUACCAAGGCGACGAUCUGUAGCUGGUCUGAGAGGAUGAUCAGCCACACUGGGACUGAGACACGGCCCAGACUCCUACGGGAGGCAGCAGUGGGGAAUAUUGGACAAUGGGCGAAAGCCUGAUCCAGCCAUGCCGCGUGUGUGAAGAAGGCCUUUUGGUUGUAAAGCACUUUAAGUGGGGAGGAAAAGCUUAUGGUUAAUACCCAUAAGCCCUGACGUUACCCACAGAAUAAGCACCGGCUAACUCUGUGCCAGCAGCCGCGGUAAUACAGAGGGUGCAGGCGUUAAUCGGAAUUACUGGGCGUAAAGCGCGCGUAGGUGGUUAUUUAAGUCAGAUGUGAAAGCCCCGGGCUUAACCUGGGAACUGCAUCUGAUACUGGAUAACUAGAGCAGGUGAGA
rnacentral:rRNA from 1 species